UGAGUGCAAUCUCUGCCUGCAUUGAAGUACAAUAUUCAUUUAGUAACGGGAAACUUCAGCUUUCUUAUCUGCAAAAUUAAACUCUAGAUUAGAUAAUUUCCAGGUCCCAUACAGUGCUACUAUUUUAUGAGUAUAUGAGUCUGUGACUUAGAAGUUCUAAACUUGAAUUCUUGCAUUUCCAGAAAAUGACCAUGGGAAAGAAACAUAGGCUUGAUGAAAACAGAGAAACUGGUUUUGCAUGAAACUUCCCAUGGCUUGAAGCAAGUCUCCAUGACGGUGUUUGCAUACCAUUGGGGUUUUAUUCCUCCCAUGCAAUACAUGCCAAUAAAGAUGAAGUGGCAUUCAGAUGACGUGAUAUGAAGGACAUCACUGCAGCCUGCAAAGCAGAGAAUGUUUGAACUAUGCGAAAGAGUCAUACCAGGAUUUCACAAUUACAGAGAAGGCCAAGAAAGACUACUAGUCAAGAAUGCAAGAUGAGGAGACUAUGUUUCCCUCAAGCCACACAGCCAGUGUAUGGUGGAGCUGGAAUUUGUCACCGGCUGAAUCUUCUGCCCCAGAAUAUCCCAUCUUGCUGUUUAACCAACAUUGAACAAGAGGUUCAGUUACUGGUUAAAGACUGUUCCGAAGGACUGAGAACUUACACAUUUUUGAACUCCUUUACUUCCCUCUUUCCUUCCAAUUCCUUAGGAAUGAGCAUGCAUUUGUGUAAUUGAGUUGAAUAAAAUUUAACACAUAUUUCCUAUUAAACUUUUAAGCUCA
rnacentral:lncRNA from 1 species